rnacentral:lncRNA from 1 species
UAAGAAUAGACCAUUUCUAAACUGCAGCUGUUAUGUGCUUAAGCAAACCCUGCUGAGAGAACUGCUUUGUAGAACACCUCUGCUAACACAGAGAUCCCUUCAAUAGAGGAAUUGAAAGUGCAGUGUGCAUCUUGGGAAAAUGCCGCUACAUUUACUAUGGAAAACAUUCUGAAGGCAACAGAUUCAUCCGAGACGACCAGCUAUAAAACACUGCACUCUUUCGUGCCACUUCAGUCACUCCACACAAGAAGCACAAAUAGAAUCUAAAUUUUAAGCAUGUAACUAAAGUCCUCUAGUGCCUUCUGCUGACUUUGCCAGGCCUGUCAAGAUCAUCCUUCCAUCUCAGUCUGAGUAGUCACAUAGAGAUUGACAUGAUUGCCUUUAAGCAGGUCCCAUCCACCAGCGUGACAGACAGCUGUGGCAGAGCACCCGGCCUGACAGGAGGAGCAUGCUGAUGGAUUGCCUGGUCCAGCUGCUGCACGCAGGAGAGCUGGGGUCACACCUGGGCCUUCACUGAGCAUGCUCUGUUGGCUGGCACCGCACAAAAGCAGCGUGUUUAUCUCCUGCUCGCCUGUUGAGGGAGAGUGGCUGGUGAUAUCAAAGUGUUUAUAAAAGAGAAGGGCUAUAAUUUCAGAUGAAAAACCCCUUAUCUGUUCUAAGUUUUUUUUUUUUUCUUGUGAAUUAAGUGCUUUUGUUUCUGUCAUCUCCUAUAUGCUCACACACAUGCUCUUCAUAGGGUGUUCUUGGUUUUUCCACAAAUGAGCCUGUAUGAAUUAUUCUUUCUUUCAACAGGAAAAGAUGUAUCCAGAAAAUAUUUCAUCAAUUUUUGCUUAUAAGCAAAGGAAAAAAGGUUUGAACAGUUUUACAGGCAAACAAAAUUUUCUAAUUGUUAAAUAACAUCUCACAUUAAUUUACCUUGAUCUUCAGAAGAGGGGUCAUUUUUAAUACUGUGUUAGUAACAUAGGUUCUCUGUGAAGUUGGAAAGGCACUCAGUUAUGACAUUGAUAGUGUAUAUUAUUCCUGGUUUAUUACACAAUAUAUAUUUUACUUGUGUAGAGUACAUUUAGAAUUAAACACUUAAAUUUGGAAGGGAAAAAGGGCUUAAAAAGAGGGAUGUAAAAUAAAAUUGCCACCAGAUAGGUAUGAUUACUCAGGAGGGAAAAAUGUCAAUAAAAGUGACUGACGGAAUUAACAUAAUUAACAGCUUUACUAAUAUGUUCUGGAGGAAAGUUCUGUUUAAUCCCAUUUGAAGCCUACAUAAGAAAGGCUACUCUGAAGUUUUCAGUGAAAAACCAACAAUACAUAGAGUAUUUCUUGCUUCUCUAAGAAAUGGAUUGAGAUACUUAGAAUCAUGAACAUCUUUCUGUGGAAAAAAAAUCCUAAUACUUAAUAAAUAUAUCAUGUUAAGUGCUGCUUGUUACAGUGUGAUUGGCAUAGG